AAGCCCCGGGGGGACGGGCUGGGCAGCUCAGAGGUGCCACCUGGGCCACAUCUGGUGGAAGCAGCCUUGGAGGUCCCAGGACCCCACAUCCCUGGAGGGUGGUGUAGGUGACCCCUGUGAGCUAGACAGUCCUGUGACAAUCUGCAUCCCCUUUACAGGUAAGGAGGCUUGUGGAGGAGUGGCUUGCCCUAAGAGAGGGAUUUUAACCGGAAAAGCACACCAGUAGCUGGCCCGGAGGCAGAGAAAAGAGCCACUGGUCAUCACUGGUCACAGGGUGGCCGGUCCUGGGAAGACAGGAGAGAAGUGGCUGUGGGUGGUAAGCUCUGGAAGUUUCCACUCACCAUGCUCGUGGAGUGCAGGCCAGUGCCGGCUGUUUCCAGGAAACACGCGUGCACGGUGAACGGAGCCGGAGAGAAAGGGGUGUACAGCCGAAAUCAGUCCCCAUCCUGCCCAACCCCCAGCUCCCUUCCUGGCACCGGCCACCAGGGCCGGGUUUAGAGCAAGGUGUAGUGGAGGUGACCCUCUUAAAAUGCAAAUGAGCGUUUCUUGUUCUUUUUUUCCUCCUUGAAGGAGCCGGCAGGUUAUUUGUCACAGGCCCUUGCUCUGCCUGGGGGCAGCCCCUUCACGUUUAUGGAAUCAGUCCCCCAACUGGGUGUCUGGGCGCUUUCCAAAGUUCUGCUGUUAUAAACAGUGGUGCGCCGAAUCCCUGGUGCCUUUUCCCUUGUCACCCGUGUGCGCGUUUCUGCCGUGUAAGUUCCUAAAAAUGGAAUCGCUCGGUCAAAGGGUGGGCGCAUCAAACAGCCUGACAGCCCUCCGGCAGCAGGGGCUGCCUCCGGGGCCACAAGGAACUUUAAUGAAUAGCUGCUGCCCUGGCCGGGUAGCUCAGCCGGUUAGAGCAUCGUCCUGAUACAACAAGGCUGUGGGUUCGAUCCCCGGUCAGGGCCCCGUCAAUGAAUCAACUAAGGAAUGAAUAAGUAAGUGGAACAACAA